CUUAUGAAGAAAGGUGGAGGGAGUGGCCCGUAGAAACCUUGACAACCUGCUGUAUACGAAAGUAAGGUGUUAAUUCCAAUCGAUUAAACCGAUAAGAUAAG
rnacentral:ncRNA from 1 species